rnacentral:lncRNA from 1 species
CUAGCCAUUCAAAAUCCUGAGGUGUAUGUUGGCUGUAGCAUAUUCAUUAUAGGAACCAGAUUGCACCAAGAUGGGAUUUAUCAACCUCGAUAGAUAAGAGGAGUAGUUCUAUGAUGAUCGAAAGAUUGAGUCUUUGUUGCCCAGCAAUGCAACCCAAGAGGGGGGGGUGAAUUGGGUUUCUAAAAAUUUUAAGCCCAACAGAUUACUUAUGAAGAUCAAAACAAAGACUUUAAUUCAAUAUAAAUUACCUAAAGCAGGAAAGCAAGAAUAUAAUAAAGAAAUAAAGUGAAGCGAUAAAGCACAC